AUGAUGCUCUACAAAAUCCACUCCCAUGCCCAAAUCCAAGACCUGCAGGCCCGCUCCGAUGAGCUGGGCCACUCCAAUAAGUCCAUGCUUGUGAGUCUUGUCUCUCUGGAGUCGGUGCGCAUAGCGUGGGAGUCGUAUGCGCUCCUCCGCCCGCUGAUCAUGGAGUCGAGGUCCUGGGAAUGCCCGCAGCUGGAUUCCCUCUCGGACGUGGCAGGCUUGUCGCUGGAAAUCCAAAAGCUUGAGCAUGAUGUGUUACCCCAGCUCAAGCUUCAGGAGGGUAAGCUGGAACGGGGUGCCCUGGAAGCCCUCCUACUCAUUAAGAACUCAGCAAGUAAGCUCUUACAUUUGAGGAAGUGCUUUGAGGAAGCCUUGGGCGUAUUGCUUGCCAAGGAGGAUCUGGUCUCAGCCAAAGUCAAAAGGCUGAGCAUGAUGCUAAACGAUACUGCUGUUCAUGUACUCAAAGCUAACAACACUCGCUUGUUUAAGGAGUGUGUCCUGUUUCUGGUCCAGCUGGUCACCGAUGUGUUGGAGACCCCGGUUCGUUUCUGUGAUACUCGUAAGUGUAAGCAUUCUGAUGAGUAG
rnacentral:rRNA from 1 species